GAUGAACGCUGGCGGCGUGCCUAAUACAUGCAAGUCGAGCGAACGGACGUGAAGCUUGCUUCUCUGAUGUUAGCGGCGGACGGGUGAGUAACACGUGGAUAACCUACCUAUAAGACUGGGAUAACUUCGGGAAACCGGAGCUAAUACCGGAUGAUAUUUUGAACCGCAUGGUUCAAAAGUGAAAGACGGUCUUGCUGUCACUUAUAGAUGGAUCCGCGCUGCAUUAGCUAGUUGGUAAGGUAACGGCUUACCAAGGCAACGAUGCAUAGCCGACCUGAGAGGGUGAUCAGCCACACUGGAACUGAGACACGGUCCAGACUCCUACGGGAGGCAGCAGUAGGGAAUCUUCCGCAAUGGGCGAAAGCCUGACGGAGCAACGCCGCGUGAGUGAUGAAGGUCUUCGGAUCGUAAAACUCUGUUAUUAGGGAAGAACAUAUGUGUAAGUAACUGUGCACAUCUUGACGGUACCUAAUCAGAAAGCCACGGCUAACUACGUG
rnacentral:rRNA from 1 species